CUGAAAAUUUCAAGGCAGAUAGAUCUUCACCUGAUAAACAAUUUUACCAAUGUCAGAUUUGCUCUAAAUGCUUUGGUUUUUGAGUUAUAAGCCAAAAACUGCAUUUUACCCCUAUGUUCUAUUUUUAGCCAUGGCGGCCAUCUUGGUUGGUUUGACGGGUCACGCCACACAUUUUUUAAACUAGAUAUCCCAAGGAUGAUUG
rnacentral:lncRNA from 1 species